UCCGGCAUAGCUCAACGGUAGAGCAUCCGGCUGUUAACCGGAGGGUUGUAGGUUCGAAUCCUACUGCCGGAGCCAGCU
rnacentral:tRNA from 1 species